rnacentral:lncRNA from 1 species
UGUCCAACUACAAAGAUUACAGAUAUAAGUCCAACAUUGAGUUUCUGGUUCCCUAGUGUUCAAGGCAAAUUGCAGUUUAUACCUUAAUUUUGUAUAGUUUUGCUAACUGUAAGCAGUGAUAAUGUUCAAGGAUAGUCGAGACAAGAUUAAUUAUACACCCAGAAGUUUUCUAUUUUUAAUAUUCAUUUUCUUAGUUAGGUAUAUUAUCUCAACUUUAAAUAAAUAGUAAUUUUUUUCUGAAAAAAUAUCAUAUGUAGCUGAUGAAUGGGAAGGCAUUUUGGGUUGGUUGUUAGUCUCCAAUUGUCCUGAUGUAGCUAUUCUUUCUGAGGUUACUAGAAUGCACCAGUGUCCUUUUCAUGCCUCUGCCCUUGGAAAUAAUUUAAUUUACAAAGAAUCUAAGAUCAGCUUUUUAGUGAAUAAACAAAUUAAUUACUUAAUAUAAUUUUUCAAUCAUAAAUCUUAUGCCCACCACAUGUUUAGAAAAAAAAUCAAUAUUAUUUUGACUUGAGUAACACCCUCAUUUUAAAAUUUUAAAGUGCUACAACUUACACAGAGAGCCCUUUUACAGCUUCAGAACAAUGGAGAAUAGGAUCUGCUUCCUCCUAGCUGAAAAAUCACCACCUUUUCAAGCUGUCUUUUAAUCCUUUCCCCUUUCUUUCUUUCUUUCUUUCUUUCUUUCUUUCUUUCUUUCUUUCUUUCUGUCUGUCUGUCUGUCUGUCUGUCUGUCUGUCUCUCUUCCUUCACUAUUUUAUCUUAGUUUUCUGCUCAGUUCAACUAAUGUAAUAGUGACAACUAACACUAAAUGUUGCUCCAUACCAAGAACUUUUAAUAUUUUUAAGACCUUAAUAAGUUUCCAUAACAGAGAUGUGGAAAAAAAAUACCUGACUGUAGAACAGUUAGAUGGCCCUUUUUUCUUCUUCAAUUGAAAUGCAUUUCCAGAGGCAAAGAGCAACUAUACCAAUUCUCAAGCAGAUUGUGAAUUUUAAGAGACAUUAAUAUUUAUGCUCCUUUACCAAGAGAUAUUUCUAAAGGAAUGAAUUAAUUUUGUGUUAUCCCAAUAUCUACAAAAUGAUCACUUGAAUAAUAAUUUUAAAAGUUAUUUGUCCAAUUGAAUUAUUUUAGCAAAAUUUCCCUUAAGUGCCAAAAUUACUUCUACAUAGGAUUUCUGAUCUGAUCUGGGGAUUAAUUCUGACUCAUCAGUAGAUUUCCUGAAAGGUCAAGGGACCUGGGCUUUUGGUGUCAGUCACAGGCAAGUACAAUGGUAGAGAUGAAGACAAAACCUCUGAUCUGGUCAGUCAGUCUGCAGCAGGAACAAUAUUAGAGCUUCUGUAGACUGCUCAGUCUAAAGAACUCCCUGAGGAGAAUCCUCUUAACUGCUGUGUGUCUCAGCACCCUAUAGCAGCUUGAUUCGCCAAUGCACCUAUUUAUAGACUAAUUGGUAAUGAAUCAACUCUGACUACUGGUGAGAUGGAAUAAAGUAAUUUUCCUUCAUCUUCUAACUACAUACAAUAAAAUACCAAGAUAUUAUAUGACAUGACAUGGUAUGAUAUGAUAUAUAAUAUGAUAUGAUAUGAUUGAUAUGAUAUGAUAUGAUAUGAAACUAUAAUUUGACUGUCUAGGUUUCUAAAACUAAAAGAAUGAUGUGAUAGUAAACUUCGGUGAUUGAUAUUGUAGUUGAAGAAAUUAAAAACCUAAAACUUCCAAAAGAUGCAGAUAAAAAUGAAAAACAAAACAAUUCACUCCAUUAUAUGAGACCAAUGAACUAGAAAAAGACAACCUUAAUGACAAAACGCCUUUAGAUAAUAAGGGUUCCGUGAUGGCCAAUACCAUAGGAAACAAUAUGAACCAGUGCAGAUGCACCAGCAAAGGUUGAGGUGGCAAAUCUAAACUAUGCUUACCACAGUAAAUGUUUACAUGCAGAAUUUCAGAAAGACCUAUUCUUACAACUUGUUUAAAGUGUCAGUGAAGAAAGGGUGGAGCUUCAAGUUGUCUAUACCUGCAUCAGUACUAAAAUUCUCUCUCUUUUUAUUCUAAGCUGGAUUAAAGUCAGAGGAAUGCAGUUAAGAGAGAUUUGUAUAGGAGUCAUCAUUUCAAAACAAAAUACUCAAAAUGCAUGUUUCAAUCGUUUUUCAUUUUAGUUCAAUUAAAAGGGAAUCAAUACAUACCAACAUUGAGAUGACAUAGACCAUAUAUUUUCUCACAAAAGUUUUAAUGAACUCACCAUUAAAAUUUUUCAGGGAACAAUUACAACUACUCUUAAAAACAGUCUCUGCCAAGAAAACAAGGCUCUUAAGGAAGAAGUGGUCAUAAAGAUGUCAAUAAGGUAGAAAUCAAUAAAGACAAAGAGAAAUAUCAAAUAGAAUGUAUCAGCAAUUGAAAAAAAAACAUAAAACACAACAGAUAGGUUCAAUAUCAGAAGGACUAAUCAAAUGGCUCCUUUAGUACAAUAGGAAGUAUCCAUUUUGAACAAGAAAAAAAUGAACAACAACAAACAAGUUGAGUGUGGCAUCAAACCCAUGACACUAGAUAAGACCUGAGGCAGGGCAGAAAAAAAAUACUCAAAGACAUUAUGGCAAAUUUAGAAAAGUUAAUAAAGCUAAAAUAUAAAACAAAGUUGAUCUGAGCCCUACAUAGCUACAUCCAAAGAAUGUAAGUGUUGGGCAAAGUGCAGUCAACAUUUAGAAAACUGAAAACAAAGCAAAAUAUAUCGAAAGCAAGACAAAUACAAAAUUGCAACCUUUCCAUUGGU